AAUCAACGCUGGCGGCGUGCCUCAGACAUGCAAGUCGAACGAUUAAGACUUCCUUCGGGAAGUGUAUAAAGUGGCGCACGGGUGAGUAACACGUAAGUAAUCUACCUUCGAGUGGGGAAUAACGUCCGGAAACGGACGCUAAUACCGCAUAAUGCAGCGGCAUCGCAAGAUGACAGUUGUUAAAGGAGCAAUCCGCUUGAAGAGGAGCUUGCGGCAGAUUAGCUAGUUGGUAAGGUAAUGGCUUACCAAGGCUACGAUCUGUAUCCGGCCUGAGAGGGCGGUCGGACACACUGACACUGAAUAACGGGUCAGACUCCUACGGGAGGCAGCAGUCGGGAAUUUUGGGCAAUGGGCGAAAGCCUGACCCAGCAACGCCGCGUGAAGGAUGAAGUAUUUCGGUAUGUAAACUUCGAAAGAAUGGGAAGAAUCAAUGACGGUACCAUUUAUAAGCUCCGGCUAACUACGUGCCAGCAGCCGCGGUAAAAC
rnacentral:rRNA from 1 species